AUACGGAGGAUGCAAGCGUUAUCCGGAUUUAUUGGGUUUAAAGGGUGCGUAGGCGGUUUGCUAAGCGGGAGGUGAAAUGCCGGCGCUCAACGUCGGAAGUGCCUCCCGAACUGGUGGACUUGAAUGACUCUGCCGUGGGAGGAAUGUGUAGUGUAGCGGUGAAAUGCUUAGAGACUACACAGAACACCGAUUGCGAAGGCAUCUCACGAAGGGUUGAUUGACGCUGAGGCACGAAAGCGUGGGGAUCAAACAGGAUUAGAUACCCUGGUAGUCCACGCAGUAAACGAUGAUUACCCGCUGUCGGCGGCAGACAGUCGGCGGCCAAGCGAAAGCGAUAAGUAAUCCACCUGGGGAGUACGCCGGCAACGGUGAAACUCAAAUGAAUUGGCGGGG
rnacentral:rRNA from 1 species